rnacentral:snRNA from 1 species
AGACACAAGUCCAAAACACUCUACUCCGGCUGCAAAUUCUGUCACCCUAUUGCUUGUCAGGGUUACUUUGGCUGAUAUGGCUGGCUAGGAGAGUGUCCUAUUCCUCCCUUGCUGUUCAGCGUGUGACUUUCCCAAAGCUGCGUGCUCAGAGGAAGAAGGCCAAGUGCCCGGAUAGAGGAGGGCGGCUUCCCAGUCAAGGGGAUCCAUGUAGCUGCACUCCCUGCUAGAGCCUCCAAACAGGUCCUCCAAGCCUCGCAGGCCAGUGGGCUGCCUUCCUACCACACGCUUGUCCAAGCCUCGCAGGCCAGUGGGCUGCCUUCCUA